rnacentral:rRNA from 1 species
AGAUCCCUGAAAGAUGAUCAGGUUGAUAGGUCUGAGGUGGAAGUGUGGCGACACAUGGAGCUGACAGAUACUAAUCGAUCGAGGACUUAACCAU